rnacentral:rRNA from 1 species
UACGUAGGCAGCAAGCGUUGUUCGGAUUUACUGGGCGUAAAGGGCGCGUAGGCGGCCCUCCUAGUCGCGUGUGAAAGCCCCGGGCUCAACCUGGGAACGGCGCGCGAAACGGGGGGGCUGGAGUUCGGGAGAGGAGCGUGGAAUUCCCAGUGUAGAGGUGAAAUUCGUAGAUAUUGGGAAGAACACCGGUGGCGAAGGCGGCGCUCUGGACAGUUCCUGACACUGAGACACGAAGGCCAGGGGAGCAAACGGG